rfam:Ictidomys tridecemlineatus contig119219, whole genome shotgun sequence.
GGGAUUGUGGCUCAGCAGUAGAGCAUUCGCCUAGCACGGGCGAAACCUGGGUUCAAUCCCCAGCACCA